rnacentral:rRNA from 1 species
GACGAACGCUGGCGGCGUGCUUAACACAUGCAAGUCGAGCGGUAAGGCCCUUCGGGGUACGACGAGCGGCGAACGGGUGAGUAACACGUGGGUGGACCUGCCUCUAGCUCUGGGAUAAGCCUGGGAAACUAGGGUCUAAUACCGGAUAUGACUCCACGGCGCAUGUUGUGGGGUGGAAAGCCUUGUGUGGCUAGAGAUGGGCCCGCGGCC